rnacentral:rRNA from 1 species
UUAUGCGUUGUUGGGUAGGGGAGCGUUCUGUAAGCCUGCGAAGGUGGCCUGUGAGGGUUGCUGGAGGUAUCAGAAGUGCGAAUGCUGACAUAAGUAACGAUAAAGCGGGUGAAAAGCCCGCUCGCCGGAAGACCAAGGGUUCCUGUCCAACGUUAAUCGGGGCAGGGUGAGUCGACCCCUAAGGCGAGGCCGAAAGGCGUAGUCGAUGGGAAACGGGUUAAUAUUCCCGUACUUGGUGUUACUGCGAAGGGGGGACGGAGAAGGCUAUGUUGGCCGGGCGACGGUUGUCCCGGUUUAAGCGUGUAGGCUGGUUUUCCAGGCAAAUCCGGAAAAUCAAGGCUGAGGCGUGACGACGAGGCACUACGGUGCUGAAGCAACAAAUGCCCUGCUUCCAGGAAAAGCCUCUAAGCAUCAGGUAACAUCAAAUCGUACCCCAAACCGACACAGGUGGUCAGGUAGAGAAUACCAAGGCGCUUGAGAGAACUCGGGUGAAGGAACUAGGCAAAAUGGUGCCGUAACUUCGGGAGAAGGCACGCUGACAC